UUUAAACCGUUCGAGUGGGUGACUCACACUGUCACAUGUCGAGCGCUUUCAGUCGAUCAGUUUUUUUUCAGUGACUUGAGUUGUGCGAUCCUUUUAAACUGAUUUUUGGUGAUCUUACUCGUAUAUUUUCCUAAAGUAUAGGCAAUAAAUAAAACCGUCACGCUUUUCGAAGGAAGUGACUAGUCCAAAAAAUCUUUUGUCGAUCUGGUCUUGAAGCAGUGCUACACUGUAUAA